CAACGUGGGGAUCUGCCCAGUAGUGGGGAACAACUCCGAGAAAUCGGAGCUAAUACCGCAUACGGUACUUGUGGAGACACAGGAUACUAAAGCCAGUAAUGGCGCUAUUGGAGGAACCUGCGGCUGAUUAGCUAGUUGGUGGGGUAAAGGCCUACCAAGGCGAUGAUCAGUAGCUGGUCUGAGAGGAUGGACAGCCACACUGGGACUGAGAUACGGCCCAG
rnacentral:rRNA from 1 species